UGGCCCAGCCGACCCACGACGACCCACCAACCCACGAAUCGGCCCGGCAGUCGCGUGCACCAUGUCUGGCUCCUCCAGCAUCGCCGCUAUGAAGAAAGUGGUUCAACAGCUCCGGCUGGAGGCCGGACUCAACCACAUAAAAGUUUCCCAGGCAGCUGCAGACUUGAAACAAUUCUGUCUGCAGAAUGCUCAACAUGACCCUCUGCUGACUAGAGUAUCUUCAAGUACAAAUCCCUUCAGACCCCAGAAAGUCUGUUCCUUUCUGUAGUAAAAUGAAUCUUUCAAAGGUUUCCCAAACCACUCCUUAUGAUCCAGUGAAUAUUCAAGAGAGCUACAUUUGAAGCCUGUACAAAAGCUUAUCCCUGUAACACAUGUGCCAUAAUAUACAAACUUCUACUUUCGUCAGUCCUUAACA